rnacentral:rRNA from 1 species
AUUGAACGCUGGCGGCAUGCCUUACACAUGCAAGUCGAACGGUAACAGGUCUUCGGAUGCUGACGAGUGGCGAACGGGUGAGUAAUACAUCGGAACGUGCCCGAUCGUGGGGGAUAACGGAGCGAAAGCUUUGCUAAUACCGCAUACGAUCUACGGAUGAAAGCAGGGGACCGCAAGGCCUUGCGCGGACGGAGCGGCCGAUGGCAGAUUAGGUAGUUGGUGGGAUAAAAGCUUACCAAGCCGACGAUCUGUAGCUGGUCUGAGAGGACAACCAGCCACACUGGGACUGAGACACGGCCCAGACUCCUACGGGAGGCAGCAGUGGGGAAUUUUGGACAAUGGGCGAAAGCCUGAUCCAGACAUGCCGCGUGCAGGAUGAAGGCCUUCGGGUUGUAAACUGCUUUUGUACGGAACGAAAAGCCUCUUUCUAAUAAAGAGAGGUAAUGACGGUACCGUAAGAAUAAGCACCGGCUAACUACGUGCCAGCCGCCGCCGUAAUAC